GGGGACGCCUAUACUGCAGUCGAGCGCGUGAAGCAGAAAGAAGCCUUCGGGUGGACAUCUGUGGAUCGAGCGGCGGACGGGUGAGUAACACGUGGGCAACCUGCCUCUCAGACGGGGAUAACACCGGGAAACCGGUGCUAAUACCGGAUAUGACCUAAAUCACAUGAUGAAGGAAGAAAGAUGGCUUCGGCUAUCGCUGAGUGAUGGGCCUGCGUCGCAUUAACUAGUUGGUAAGGUAAAAGCUUACCAAGGCGACGAUGCGUAGCCGACCUGAGAGGGUGACCGGCCACACUGGGACUGAGACACGGCCCAGACUCCUACGGGAGGCAGCAGUAGGGAAUCUUCCGCAAUGGACGCAAGUCUGACGGAGCGAUGCCGCGUGAGUGAGGAAGGCUUUCGGGUCGUAAAACUCUGUUGUGAGGGAAGAAUGACUCUUGUUUAAAUAAGGCAAGAGAGUGACGGUACCUCACGAGAAAGCCCCGGCUAACUACGUGCCAGCAGCCGCGGUAAUACGUAGGGGGCAAGCGUUGUCCGGAAUUAUUGGGCGUAAGGCGCGCGCAGGCGGUCUCUUAAGUCUGAUGUGAAAUCUCGCGGCUCAACCGCGAGCGGUCAUUGGAAACUGGGAGACUUGAGUAUAGGAGAGGAAAGUGGAAUUCCACGUGUAGCGGUGAAAUGCGUAGAGAUGUGGAGGAACACCAGUGGCGAAGGCGACUUUCUGGCCUAUAACUGACGCUGAGGCGCGAAAGCGUGGGGAGCAAACAGGAUUAGAUACCCUGGUAGUCCACGCCGUAAACGAUGAGUGCUAGGGUGU
rnacentral:rRNA from 1 species